rnacentral:piRNA from 1 species
UAGAAACGGAUCUUUCUUAGCUAGCCU